rfam:Oryza sativa Japonica Group DNA, chromosome 5, cultivar: Nipponbare, complete sequence.
UAUAAGUGCAGUUAUGAUUUUUUAUGUCCAACGUUUAACCGUCUGUCUUAUUUGAAAGAAAAUUAUGAUUAGUAUUUUUAUUUCAUUAGAUGAUAAAUCAUGAAUAAUACUUUAUGUGUGACUUUUUUUUUUAAUUUAUUCAAAUAAGACAUACGAUCAAACGUUAGACACGGAAACUAAUAACUGCACUUAUA